AGAAGGUUCUAUUUCCAGCAAGAACAAGAUGUUUCUUCCACCAGAAUUAGCACAAGACAGCCCGAGCCCAGCCAAGGCUGGAAACUUCAGCGAACAAAGAUUUUAAUGAGCAGAAAGCUGAAGACCUGAACUGAUCUUAAAACUUCUACUGUGGUGCCCUUCAAACCAUUCUCCACACUUCAGCAAGAAGGAUCCUAUAAAAACCCAAAUGUUAUCCCCAUAUCCUUACUCUACUUAAAACUUCACUUUUCUCAGAACAUAGCCCCAUCAUGAAGCAACGCAUGACUCUGUGUGUGUGUGUGUGUGUAGAUAAAUGAAGCAAAAGUAUGAUUUGAUUUGAAUGAUUAGGAAAAGUUGCACCAUUUUCAGUGUCUUUAAUUUUUCUUUCUCCUUUGACGC
rnacentral:lncRNA from 1 species